CUCCGGCGAGCUUUUCCGCCGCCAUUGUUCAUCUCUUGCCGAAGGAACCGUGACCUGCUGUGCGUGCGCACGCCGCCUGUGCGCCAUCACCGGCCGUGCCUUGGCCCUAGCCCGGCCACCGCUGCACCAUCCACCCGAGCCCCCGCCGCACCGGAGCCCCGGCAGGCCGCCGGCCAGGAGCUGCACCAUGCCCCUGCCGUUUUCAUCUGAUCUUUUUCAUCCGUGAUGCAGUCUGGAGGAAGAAGACAAGCCAAUUUUGCAAAUAUAUCUCGGAAGAAAUAGAAGGAUCGCUGUUCGAAAGCUUUGAAGAUUAAGAGUUUCAAGAGAGCAAGAGCCGAAGAGCAGUAAGAAGUAACUUGUCGCUGGAGAAAGGCAAGUGUGUCCUUGU